rnacentral:rRNA from 1 species
UUCGCAAUGCCCGAAAGGGUGACCGAGCGACGCCGCGUGGAGGACGAAGGCCUUCGGGUUGUAAACUCCUGUCGAGGGGGAGGAAGGGGCAACCUUGACCGAUCCCUGGAGGAAGCACGGGCUAAGUUCGUGCCAGCAGCCGCGGUAAGACGAACCGUGCGAACGUUAUUCGGAAUCACUGGGCUUAAAGCGCGUGUAGGCGGAUGGGAACGUCGGUCUUUGAAAGCCCCCGGCUCAACCGGGGAAGCGGAGCCGAAACGACCGAUCUGGAGGGACGUAUGGGGACCUGGAACUUCCGGUGGAGCGGUGAAAUGCGUUGAGAUCGGAAGGAACGCCCGUGGCGAAAGCGAGGUCCUGGACGUCUGCUGACGCUGAGACGCGAAAGCUAGGGGAGCAAACGGGAUUAAAUACCCCGGUAGUCCUAGCCGUAAACGAUGGGCACUAAGUAAAGGGGUUUU